CCUACGGGGGACAGCAGUGAGGAAUAUUGGUCAAUGGGCGCGAGCCUGAACCAGCCAAGUCGCGUGAGGGAAGACGGUCCUAUGGAUUGUAAACCUCUUUUGUCGGGGAGCAAAAGACGCCACGCGUGGCGUUCCGAGAGUACCCGAAGAAAAAGCAUAGGCUAACUCCGUGCCAGCAGCCGCGGUAAUACGGAGGAUGCGAGCGUUAUCCGGAUUUAUUGGGUUUAAAGGGUGCGCAGGCGGAAGAUCAAGUCAGCGGUAAAAUUGAGAGGCUCAACCUCGUCGAGCCGUUGAAACUGGUUGUCUUGAGUGAGUGAGAGGUAUGCGGAAUGCGUGGUGUAGCGGUGAAAUGCAUAGAUAUCACACAGAACUCCGAUUGCGAAGGCAGCAUACCGGCGCUCAACUGACGCUCAUGCACGAAAGUGUGGGUAUCGAACAGGAUUAGAUACCCUAGUAGUC
rnacentral:rRNA from 1 species